AAGUCGUAACAAGGUAACCGUAGGUGAACCUGCGGUUGGAUCAUUAAUAAAUUCUAGAGCAGUCUCUUGUGAUUGAGUAAAAUCAAGAGCAAGGGCUGUUUCUUAACAAUUUGUGAAUCGUUUAUUGUCUCUUGUGGAUGAUGGCUCUUGUAGCCUCUCCACAUGUGAAUCUUAACAUUGUAAUAUAACCAUUUGCCUUGAAACUUUAAACCUAAAAAUUUAAAAACAACUUUUGACAACGGAUCUCUAGGCUCUC
rnacentral:misc_RNA from 1 species